GAUGAAGAACGCAGCGAAAUGCGAUAAGUAAUGUGAAUUGCAGAAUUCCGUGAAUCAUCGAAUCUUUGAACGCACAUUGCGCCCCCUGGUAUUCCGGGGGGCAUGCCUGUUCGAGCGUCAUUUCACCACUCAAGCCUCGCUUGGUAUUGGGCAACGCGGUCCGCCGCGUGCCUCAAAUCGUCCGGCUGGGUCUUCUGUCCCCUAAGCGUUGUGGAAACUAUUCGCUAAAGGGUGUUCGGGAGGCUACGCCGUAAAACAACCCCAUUUCUAAGGUUGACCUCGGAUCAGGUAGGGAUACCCGCUGAACUUAAGCAUAUCAAUAAGCGGAGGA
rnacentral:misc_RNA from 1 species